rnacentral:rRNA from 1 species
GUUGCGACCCCAGGUCAGGCAGGACUACCCGCUGAGUUUAAGCAU